AAUCAACUACUCCAGCUACUCUAAAAAUUAUUUUUUUUGUCCAUUUUUUUAUUUCUUAUUUUAAUUUUUUUUCUUACACCAAUUCAAUAUGUUAAGUCUCAACAUGAAAUUCCAACUAGACACAUAAUAGAUCUGUCGUACAGGCAGAGUCUCUCCUGUAUCGAGUCAUUGAUGCUAACUAUUAAUCCAAAAGCUCGAGCUGUUAGAAAUACGCAACCAACUCACUUAAAGCGUACAGAUACAGCAUUCACCGAUAUUUGAUUGUGAUUCGACCCAACCAGCGUCACGCCCACUUCGAACAUGACUCGAUCCAACCUGGCCUCUCGCCAUUUCGAAUAUAACUCAGCAUAACCUAACCUCCCGCCAUAAAGUAGAAUGCUGGUCGCUUUAAGCAC
rnacentral:lncRNA from 1 species